rnacentral:lncRNA from 1 species
GUCACGAAAAAUCACGUGACUGGACUGGUUGGCAAGACGGUACUUCCGCAUGGCCGACUGAUUCCUUUGUUAUUAUUUUAUCUGGUAAUCUCGUUGAAAGCAAAAUGGUUGUAUCUUGUUGUGUGAUCGAUUGCACAAGCAGAUUCGACAAGGACAACCCAAGGAGCUUUUUUCGCAUCCCAAAGAAACCAGAACCCCGAAGAAAGCUUUGGAUUACAGCCAUAAAGCGCGUGUCUAUCGUCGGACGUCAACAAUGGGAACCUACAGAUUACGAUCGCGUUUGUUAUCGUCACUUCAUAACAGGAGAGAAGAGCAAUGACAAGAAUAACCCUGACUACAUUCCCUCUGUGAACAUGGGCUAAAAGGACACUAAACCAAGUGGGGAUCUGCGCCAUGCUAGACACUGUCGAUUGGAGGGCAGAGAAUCCGAGAAAGGCAAGAAACAAGCAGCUUCUGCACUACUGGAUUUGUCAAACACAGAAAAUAUAUUUGAGACACAAGCUGAAGAAUUGCAGCCACAUGUCGACAUACACAGUGGCUGUAUUAAAAAAAAUUGCUGCCCUGCGAAUAGAAAACCAGCAGCUAUAUGAAGAGUUAGGGAGACUUCAAAACAGAGAAUGCGAUUUUAAAACAUAAUGAAAGUCGACUGAGUUUUGAGGAGCAGAUGACAUCCAGUGAUCAAAGAAUUCAGUUUUAUACAGGUCUACAUACAAAAGCUCUAUUUGUAUGGCUGCUGUCAUUUUGCUCCCCGGCACUUCCAGCGUGCAAAGUUCUAAGCCCAACAUGUGUAAUGAUGUGUAUAAUAAUGAAACUUAGGUUGAAUCUCCAGCACCAGGACUUGGCGUAUAGGUUCAGUGUGUCUGUGACCACAAUAUCCGACAUUCUUAACCAGGGACUGCCAAAAUUAGCAGAAAAACUUUCAUUUCUGAUUCAGUGGCCUGAUAAAGACAGUCUGUUAAGAAACAUGCCUAAUGUUAUUAAAAUAACCUACCCAAAAUGUGUGAGCAUCAUUGAUUGUUUUGAAGUUUUUAUUCAGAGACCCGGUCAACUUACAGCUAGGGCUCAAACAUGGUCAAAUUAUAAACAGAACACCAUUAAAUUUCUUGUGUCUAUAACACCAACGGGGGCAAUUUCUUAUGUAUCACAGGCUUUUGGGGGUAGGACAUCGGAUAAAGUUAUUACUCAGAGAAGUGGUUAUUUGGAUAAAUUGGAAUAUGGGGAUCAAGUUUUAGCAGACAGAGGAUUUCUGAUAGCAGAAGAUUUAGCAAACCCGUAAUGCAACACUAGUAAUACCAGCCUUCACUAGGGGAAAGUCACAACUUAGUGCCAGAGAGGUUGAGCAGACCAGAACAUUAGCAAAUGUGCGGAUACAUGUGGAACGAGCCAUUGAAAGACUGAAAAACUAAUAUUUUGAGUAGCAGCACGAGUUUAUACAUGGUUCCACAUGCAGACAGCAUAGUCACAAUCUGUUCAGCAUUAUCUAAUUUACAACCAAAACUUCUUUCUUAGGUUUUUACCUGUAUUAUGCUUUCAAAUGGUACAUAUUGUAAUUCUCCUUUUUAGUUGCAUGAAAUGAGACUAAAUAAAUAUAACUUAAACAGAAAAAGAAUAUAUUGCAUUUUUUAAAAUAUAAAUUAAAUAAAUAGUUUGGCAUA